CUUGAGGUGUCUGUACCACCCAUAGUGGAAACUCAUACAUGUCCGACAUUAUAUAGCAUUUUUUUUAAAAAUAUAUAUACAUACGUAUGAAGGCAGUAGACCAAUACCUUUACCGUGGAUUUAUUUUAUAUGUUUUUGUAGGUAUAUUAUAUACGUUAGACUUCAGCUGGGACUUGGCCAUGUGUCACUAAACAAAAUAUACAAAUUAUUUGCAUAAACCUAUGGAAGUAGACACACAUGUAACAGUUUAAACUCGUGUGGACUAUAAUCUGUGAUACCAGCGGAGAGCAGACGACCAGCUGAUCUUUGUUUUUAUCCUUUUUUGCCUCUUCACAGACGAUUUUGUGUAUACAUUUCUUUUCACGUGGGGUUCGGCGUACGUAGCUAAAGGAUUUGGAAUCUUGUGCUCAUCAGCUUGUUAUUACCUUUACUGUGUUACUAUUUUUGCGUGUGAAGUCGUGUAUGUGUGGGAAAUUUUGAGCAGUUUCGAGUACCGCCCUUUUUAGGGGCUAAAAUCAUGGCAAGUCACGCAAGCAUGGACACUUACAAGGAUGAGUAAGGUUGUGAAGAAAAGACGAAAGGGUGUACUUUUUGGAUCUGGUGAUAUUUUGAGUGAAGUGAUUCCGUGAUCAGAUUUUGUAUGUGGAUGUUAACCGAAGAAGGGAACUUAUGACAACAGUACUGGAUGAGAAAGUGAUGCCGUCUAAAGACGACGAAUCAGUGGGUUCUGUUGGCAGUCCCGGAAGUACAAGCAAUGGCGCCACCAACGUGACGAAGAAGCACCGGACAAAACGAGUGUUAAGGGUUGAAGAGGAAGAGAACGGUGUUUUGUAUUUACCUGUAGGCCAUUACCUAUGAUACCUUGACCACCACAUACAGUUCAUAGCCGCGGUGCUACAGUUAACCUCCGAAUUAAUCUUAACCACCGGUAAAUGGCCUCUCACAUUGACGACAUCGUUGGAGGUAUGAAAAACACGACAGAAUAUGAUUACUAUGUACUCACUU